rnacentral:misc_RNA from 1 species
CAGACGACUUGAAUAGAACGGAGUGCUGUAAGCAGUAGAGUAGCCUUGUUGCUACGAUCUGCUGAGGCUCAGCUCUUGUUCUACAGAUUUGUCCUUUUGGACUCUCUAUGUUUGGGAUGGACUGGGGGGCGACUCCAGCAUGUUAACCAUAGACAGUUUAAUAAGGAGAAGGUGUUGAAUGGGAUGGUGGUGAGUCUGGGUAGGUGUGUUCCAGAAGAUGGGUUUCAUGGUCCCGAGGUUAGAGCUCCGCCUCUCCAGAUUUCAGGUUUUCCACGGGUGCUUCCCGCACUUGUGCUAAGCUACAAGUCCAGGGAUGGACUGGGGGAGACAAGGACUCUGCAGCAGGCGAGUCUACAAGUCUCUAAGUUCCCAAGGCUGUGCAUGUCCAUGCAUAGAGUGCUCGAGUGUCUGAGUGUCUGAGCAGGUGGGAUGCAUGCAACGUUGGUGCGGUCUGGCCUGAGAUCAGACGGUGACAAGUUCAGCUGGCAGGCUGCUGGUGGUCAUACUGAGUGCUGAGCACUCCUCUGACUGCAGCACGUCUGCCAGCAUCCUUGUGUGGGCUCUGGGCGGCCGACUGCUUAUAGGUGAUGUUCCAACAUACUGUCAUCUACGGCCAUAGGAUCCAGAAAAUACCGCAUCCCGUCCGAUC